CAGUCGCCGCGGGAAUACGUAGGUGGCAAGCGUUGUCCGGAAUUAUUGGGUGUAAAGGGCUCGCAGGCGGUUUCUUAAGUCUGAUGUGAAAGCCCCCGGCUCAACCGGGGAGGGUCAUUGGAAACUGGGAAACUUGAGUGCAGAAGAGGAGAGUGGAAUUCCACGUGUAGCGGUGAAAUGCGUAGAGAUGUGGAGGAACACCAGUGGCGAAGGCGACUCUCUGGUCUGUAACUGACGCUGAGGAGCGAAAGCGUGGGGAGCGAACAGGAUUAGAGACCCCUGUAGUCCCUGUCUCUUAUAC
rnacentral:rRNA from 1 species